rnacentral:pre_miRNA from 9 species
UCUCGAUAACGUAAAAGUUAACUCAAAUUUGUAUGGAAUUGGAACGUUUGCCUAUAUCCGCCGCUAGGGGCGCUGUUCCCACUCCAUAAAAAUUUGAGUUAACUUUUACGCUAUCGA